ACACCUCAACUCUUCAUGGUUUUCCAUGAUGAGCUUGGACUCUGGGGGUCUUGCUGGCCUGUGGUCGGCUCCUCUCAAAUGAAUCAGCUUGCCGGUUUUUGGUGGGCAUCACAGGUGUGAUAACUAUCUACGCUUGUGGUUUUCCACCAGGGUAACCUUCAGCAAUGGAGGUUCACUGGAGCUUACAAAUGUCCCUCCUCUGUGAGGACGGCCCUUUGAAU
rnacentral:misc_RNA from 1 species